rnacentral:rRNA from 1 species
AUUGAACGCUGGCGGCACGCCUAACACAUGCAAGUCGAACGAGUGGCGGACGGGUGAGUAAUGUCUGGGAAACUGCCUGAUGGAGGGGGAUAACUACUGGAAACGGUAGCUAAUAACGCAUACCAUCGGAUGAGCCCAUAUGGGAUUAGCUAGUAGGUGGGGUAAAGGCUCACCUAGGCGACGAUCCCUAGCUGGUCUGAGAGGAUGACCAGCCACACUGGAACGGAGACACGGUCCAGACUCAUACGGGAGGCAGCAGUGGGGAAUAUUGCACAAUGGGAGCAAGCCUGAUGCAGCCAGGCCGAGUGUAUGAAGAAGGCCUUCGGGUUGUAAAGUACUUGCAGCGGGGAGGCGUUACCCGCAGAAGAAGCACCGGCUAACUCCGUGCCAGCAGCCGCGGUAAUAC